ensembl:lncRNA
UGUUUUGUAGUGUUAGGGAUUUAAGCCAGAAGUGCACCCCUAGUCAGGAAAUUAUAGUACGUGUAAUAAUGUUUAGUGUUAGAAUUAUAGUUUGUGUGAUGUUAGAUAUUAGUUAUUACAUUAACAUGUUAGAUGAAGUGAAUGCAAUUUCAAUCAAACACAAUUCAUAGUCAUUUAAAUCAUAUAAACACUGCACACAUGAACAUUCUGUUACAAUGUGAUGUUAAAACCUGGGGACGGAUGCCAAUUGCCGUUCUUUAUGGAUUUCUCCCAAUUUUAUCCCCAAGGAGGGGUUUUUUGGGAGUUUUUUCUCCUGUCAGGUAAUAAAAUGAACAACUUAUUGCGAGGCAGCCAACUGAGGCAAAUGUCUUGAGAAUGGAACCACAUGAACUGUCUUAGAUCUUAUGAUGAAGUGUGAUGAACGGUGAUCGUUAAUGAUGGGUUGUUGUAAUGAAAGUGUACUAGUUAUAAGAUGAAGACUUAAACGAUGUAUGCUUUGUUAAAUUCACUCAUUGAGGCAUAAAGCCGAAUGUAUCUACAUUGAGUGCAUUGGAAUGUGAGGGACAGAUAGGACAGAGAGGUUUCAGGUUACAGCUGCAGCUUCACACCUCGACGUGGAAGGGACAAUGGAGGAGGUGACCCUUUGGAGAAGAGGCCAAUGACAUUCAAAUGCACCAAAGAAGACACACCUCAAGAGGUUUCAAAGGACCAUGGCGGGGAAAAGACUGUUAGAACUUCUCCUGCAGCCGCGUUGAUAAGUCACUUCAGACUUGCUCAGAGGAUUCUCUAUUUCGCGAAAUAUUCCACUGUUCGCUUAGUAUUUCACUUUGUAAUUGUAAUCCCUAAUACGUUGUUCAGUUAUUAAAUAACUUUUGAUUUUUGAAUUUAAACGAAUUGACUCAUUCGUGUCCUCGUUUCCGGCCGGGACGAGAACAAAG